CACCAUCCGUUGGAAGGUAGCCGGUGCAUUUUUCAUCCCAAAAGGCAUGACCUUAAAUUGGUACAGGCCAAAUGGGGUGACAAAUGCCAACUUGGGGAUAGCAUCCUCGGCCAGGGGGAUCUGCCAGUAGCCCUUACACAGGUCUAUGGUGGUCAGAUAUCGUCCCCUGGCAAUACGAUCCAGUAAUUCGUCUACCCGGGGCAUUGGGUAGGCGUCAGUG